ensembl:snRNA U6 U6 spliceosomal RNA
CCUUUCCCAUAAAAAGGCAAAAGUGUAUUUGGAAUGGUCAAGAUUAGCAUAGCCCCUGCACAAGGAUGACAUGCAAAUUUGUGAAGUGUUCCCAUAUUUU